rnacentral:rRNA from 2 species
UGGGGAAGGGUGCUAUACAUGCAAGUCGAGCGGACUUUAAAAGCUUGCUUUUAAAGUUAGCGGCGGACGGGUGAGUAACACGUGGGCAACCUGCCUGUAAGACUGGGAUAACUUCGGGAAACCGGAGCUAAUACCGGAUAAUCCUUUUCCUCUCAUGAGGAAAAGCUGAAAGACGGUUUACGCUGUCACUUACAGAUGGGCCCGCGGCGCAUUAGCUAGUUGGUGAGGUAACGGCUCACCAAGGCGACGAUGCGUAGCCGACCUGAGAGGGUGAUCGGCCACACUGGGACUGAGACACGGCCCAGACUCCUACGGGAGGCAGCAGUAGGGAAUCUUCCGCAAUGGACGAAAGUCUGACGGAGCAACGCCGCGUGAGUGAUGAAGGUUUUCGGAUCGUAAAACUCUGUUGUUAGGGAAGAACAAGUACAAGAGUAACUGCUUGUACCUUGACGGUACCUAACCAGAAAGCCACGGCUAACUACGUGCCAGCAGCCCGGGGUAAUACA